rnacentral:rRNA from 1 species
AUGGACUGCUGCUGCCGCGCGCGUCGCCCAGACCUAGGGCUUGCCUUAUUCGGCUGCAUCCUCAGGACGGGCUUGAAGAUAGACCAAAUCACCGCCAACACCCUCCUCAAGUGCCUCUGCUAUGCAAAACAGACAGAAGAGGCUGUGUACGUGCUGCUUCAUAGGAUGUCGGAGCUCAGCUGUGUGCCUGAUGCCUUCGCAUACAACAUAGUUCUUAAGAGCUUAUGUAAAGGUAGCAGGAGCCAGCGGGCGCACGACCUGCUCCGGACGAUGGCAAAAGAUAGAGGUGGCUGCUUCCCUGAUGUGGUGACAUAUACCACGGUCAUCCAUGGCUUUUUCAAGGAGGGCGAAACAGGCAAGGCAUGCAAUCUAUUCCAUGAAAUGAUCCAUCAAGGGGUUGAGCCCGAUGUGGCGACGUACAACUCGGUUAUUGAUGCGUUGUGCAAGGCCAGAGCAAUGGACAAGGCUGAAGUAGUCCUUCAGCAGAUGGUCGAUAAAGGUGUUCAACCUGAUACAGUGACAUAUACUUGCAUGAUCAAUGGAUAUUCCACAUCUGGGCGGUUGAAAGAGGCUGCUAAAAUGUUCAGAGAAAUGAAAAGCCGGGGUCUUAUACCAGAUAUUGUUACUUGCAACUCGUUCCUGGCCUCCAUUUGCAAGCAUGGAACAAGCAAAGAAGCUGCAGAGUUUUUCGAUGCCAUGACUGCCAAGGGCCACAAACCGAAUAUCGUCUCAUACCGUAUUUUGCUUCAUGGGUAUGCUACUGAAGGAUGCUUUCCUGAUAUGAUUGAUGUCUUUAAUUCAAUGGAAAGCAAUGGUAUUGCAGCCGACUGCCAUGUUUUCAACAUAUUAAUUGAUGCUAAACGUGGAAUGAUGGAUGAAGCUAUGCUGAUAUCAAGUAAAAUGCAGGAACGCAGAGUGAAUCCUGAUGUAGUCACCUAUUCCAGCAUAAUAGCUGGACUUUCCAGAUUGGGUAGGCUGACUGAGGCCAUGGAAAAAUUCAAUCAGAUGAUUGCCUUGGGAGUACAACCGAACAAAGCUGUUUAUCACGCGCUGAUUCAGGGUUUUUGCAUAGAUGGUGAUUUGGCUAAAGCUAAGCAGUUGGUUUAUGAAAUGAUGGACAGAGGUAUUCCUCGUCCUAACAUUUCGUUCUUUAGUUCAGUAAUAAAGAGUCUCUGCCAAGAAGGAAGGGUUAUGGAUGCACAUGAUAUCUUUGACUUGGUUAUAGACAUGGGUGAGAGGCCUGAUGGCAUUUUAUUUAAUUCACUGAUUGAUGGUUACUGCUUAGUCGGGAAGAUGGAUAAAGCAUUAAAAGUGCUUGAUGUCAUGGAAUCAGUUGGUGUUGAGCCUGAUGUUUUUACAUACAGUACACUUGUUAAUGGCUAUUGUAGAAAUGGAAGGAUCGAUGAUGGUUUGACUCUGUUCAGAGAGAUGCCGCGUAAGAGAAUUAAACCUGACACUGUUUCAUAUCGCGUAAUAAUGGUUGGGUUGUUUCGUGCUGGGAGAACUGUUGCCGCAAGGAAAAUGUUCCAUGAGAUGAUCGAGAGUGGAACAAUGGUGGACAUUUUCACAUACAAUAUAAUACUAGGAGGCCUUUGUAGAAAUAAUUGUGCAGACGAAGCGAUCGCACUGUUCCAGAAACUACGAGCAAUGAAUGUGAAGUUUGAUAUUACCACACUCAAUACCAUGAUUAAUGCAAUGUACAACGUUCAAAGAAAAGAAGAAGCUAAGGAUUUGUUUGCUACAAUAUCAGCCAGUGGGUUGGUGCCUAAUGAAUCUACUUACAGAGUAAUGAUAAAAAAUCUUCUGGAAGAAGGAUCAGUGGAAAAAGCUGACAGUAUGUUUUCGUUGAUGGACAAGAGUGGUAUAGCUCCCAGCUCUCGUCUGUUAAAUGAUAUUAUCAGAAUGUUGUUGGAAAAAGGUGAGAUCACCAAGGCCGGAAAUUAUUUGUCUAAAGUUGAUGGGAAGAGCAUCUCACUUGAAGCUUCAACGACUUCAUUAAUGUUGUCUCUCUUUUCAAGAGAAGGGAAAUAUCGGGAGGACAUGAAAUUGCUUCCUGCAAAGUAUCAAUUUUUCGAUGGAUUUUGU